GUUUUGUUUUUUUGUCUUCCCUCCCCCGCGGGCGCUUCGUAUUUCUUCACCUUCUCUCACUUCAGCUGCUUCUCGAGAUCGGGAAAAUGGAGAGUUUCUCUUGCGCAUGGGUUGUUCUCCCUUUCAGACGGGACGCAACUUCUUCUGAAAUCGCAGCCCUCAUCCCAAGUUGCGCUCGCCUCUCCCGGAGAAAAGUCGUGCAUGGGCGCAAGGGAAGCUGAUAGAUCGGGUAUGUGCCCCCUGACUGGACGGCCUUAAAGCAGAUAGUCCCCUAGCGAGGGUGGAAGACAGAAUGCGCAUCUUCCUGGCACCUUGGCAGCUGUAAUACCACGUCGAGCAGAAUUACUUAUAUUUAAACAAGUUUAAUCGUCCUUUUGGGCUGCUUGUCCCAGGUGGCUUUUACAAUCAGAAAGCAUAAACGUAGCAUGAGUGGCAGUAUAAUACAUAUAUAUGUAUAGAUUGUGGACUUUCCUUCCUUGGAGGUUUUUAAGCAGAGGUUGGAUGGCCAUCUGUCGUGGAUUUCUGAAUUGCAGGGGGCUGGACUAGAUGACUCUUGGGGUCCCUUCCAACUCUACCGUUCUAUGAUUCUAUGUUAAAAAGCUCAGCAUAACCAAAGUAGCCAAAUGCCCUUAAAGACCCUGAGAUGCCACUUCAAAAGUCUUGGAGGAACAUGCUAUUCCUGAGUGUGCUAUUGCAGAGCUUUGGAGGGUCACUACAAAAAAAGGAGUUGUACGCAGACCCUUUGGUGUGGGUUUAAACAGGCAACAGUUGUAGCUCCUCUGGGAGUAUUGUGUGCCAUAGAGCAGGUUUGAAGAGCUGGCAGCCUUCCAGAUGUUGUUAAGACUAGGUAAAGGUAAAGGGACCCCUGACCGUUAGGUCCAGGAGCGGACAACUAGGGUUGCGGCGCUCAUCUUGCUUUACUGGCUGAGGGAGCCGGCGUACAUCUUCCGGGUCAUGGGGCCAGCAUGACUAAGCCGCUUCUGGCGAACCAGAGCAGCGCUGGAGCUGUACCUAUUUAUCUACUUGCACUGGCGUGCUUUCGAACUGCUAGGUUGGCAGGAGCAGGGACCGAGCAACAGGAGCUCACCCCAUCGCAGAGAUUUGAACCGCCGAACUUCUGAUCGGCAAGCCCUAGGCUCUGUGGUUUAGACCACAGCGCCACCCGUGUCCCUUAUUGUUAAGACUACAACUCCCAUAAUUCCAGACCAUUAUGGCUGGGACUGAUGGGAGCUGGCAUCUUCCAGAGGUUCCCCAUCUUUUCCCUGGGGGAAUGUUGCUACACAUAGAAACCUACACCCAAAAGUCUGUGCAAGGCUCUUUAGCCGUAACCUGUGUGUGUGCAUGUGUGUGUGUGUGUGUGUGUGUGUGUGUUUGGUAGCAGCCCCAGCUAAAACUGGGCCUGCUAACAGUAGCAACAGAAAUUCCUGCCCCCAAGGAAUUUGCAAGUUAACAUUCAAUUUGGGGCAGCGGUAGAGAGGAGCGGAAGAAGUUUAAGUUCAGUUAGAUUCCAGGAAGGGUUGACGAUUGAAGUGCUGUGGCAAAGGUUCUAUUGGAAAGUUGGGUUUUUGAGGCGGAUCUGAAGGAAGAGAUGGAAGUGUUCCUGGAGAGAGGUUGGGGUGUGUGUGUAAGAGAGAGAGAGAGAGAGAAAGGGUGCAUGAGAGCUUCAGCCAGUUGUGAUGGGGUUAAUUUGCUGCAGCCCAUUUACGAAUUGCUUCAUAUGAAACACCUGAAAGCAAUUUAAGAAACACUACAAUAAAACAAGGGACGCGGGUGGCACUGUGGGUUAAACCACAGAGCCUAGGACUUGCCGAUCAGAAGCGGUUCGAAUCCCAGCGACGGGGUGAGCUCCUGUUGCUCAGUCCCUUGCUCCUGCCAACCUAGCAGUUCGAAAGCACGUCAAGUGCAAGUAGAUAAAUAGGUACCACUCCAGCGGGAAGGUAAACGGCGUUUCCAUGCGCUGCUCUGGUUCGCCAGAAGCGGCUUAGUCAUGCUGGCCACAUGACCCGGAAGCUGUACGCCGGCUCCCUCGGCCAAUAAAGCGAGAUGAGUGCCGCAACCCCAGAGUUGGUCACAACUGGACCUAAUGGUCAGGGGUCCCUUUACCUUUACCUUACAAUAAAACAACUAUAAAAUGAUUUCCACAUAUUUAAAAUAAUUUCACAUAUGAAAACAAUUCUAAAGAUCAGACCUCCCAAUGAGAUUUAUCGGCUGCAAAGAACAUUGUGAUCACCAUGCUAUGGUGCUGGUGGUGCUACAAUUCUAUGAUUCUAAAGAACCAAGAUGGGGGGGGGGAGGUUUAGGUUGGAAGGCUGAAGAUUACAGGCUGGGGGCAAGGCAAUGAAGGGCUUUGAAAAUAAUAAACAAGGUGUUUGUGCUACAAAUGACAGCAAGCAGGAAGUUAUAAUUAAAUGAAUUAUUUCAGUGACAAGAAGGCUGCUGUAGCAGUCAAGGCAGGAGACAGGUGAAGAACAGGAUAUGGUGGCAUUUCUUACUGUUUAGAAGAUUUGUUGCAUCUCCAAGUCACUUUUCUCAAAAUUGUUGACAGCCUUCCUGAUCCGGCCGUCCCACCUGGCCUUUUUUCUUUUGCUGCAGAUGCCUCUUGAAAAGCUAAAUGUACAAUCCUGUGUGCGCUUACCUAGGAGUAAGUCUCAGUGUGGGACUUAACUUUUGAGUAGCCAUGCACAGAAUCAGGCUGCGCAUGAACUGUCCGCCACAGCAGAGCUGCAUUUUCUGAGAAAACCCAACACUACCAGGCCCUGGCUAUUAGGUAAUACAAUAUAAUCAAAUGCACUUUUUUAAAAAACCUACUCUCUCUUGCAGAUUUGCUCCAGUGACUGGUCUACUUUGCAGUGCUUCUACUGGUCCAGCAGUCAGGGAGAUGGCAGGAAUCUUAUGGUUGAACAUCUUCAGAUUGGGCAAAUGAUUAGCAUUGCUUGCUAUUCCUUUGUGUCUUCAAACCUAGAUUAGCUAGGGAAGUUUAUGAUCUCUGUACCUUGACAAAACAAAAGGCUACAAUCCACACACCCAUAUCGCGCUGUGGGAGGGUUGGGUUGAGCAGCAAUACCCAGCAGGUGAAGGUAAAGGACCCCUGACCGUUAAGUCCAGUUGCAGACGACUCUGGGGUUGUGGCUCUCAUCUCGCUUUACUGGCCGAGGGAGCCGGCGUUGGCCGAGGGAGCCGGCGUUUUGUCUGCAGACAGUUUUUCUGGGUCAUGUGGCCAGCAUGACUAAGCCACUUCUAGUGAAACCGGAGCAGCGCACGGAAAUGCCGUUUACCUUCCCGCCGGAGCGGUGCCUAUCUACUUGCACUUUGACGUGUUUUUGAACUGCUAGGUUGGCAGGAGCUGGGACUGAGCAACGGGAGCUCACCCCGUCGUGGGGAUUCGAACCGCCGACCUUCUGAUCGGCAAGCCCUAGGCUCUGUGGUUUAACCCACAGCGCCACCUGUGUCCCUAAUGCCCAGCAGAAAGCCCCCCACCCAAAUGGGUCAUUCUGAAGGCAGGGCUGACCUGACCUAGGAUCUGAUAGUUCCUGAGUUACUAUCACAGCUUGCAUUGACCAUUGCUGGACCUUAUCAGUAGUCUCCCUGCCACACCUGCUUGGUGCUGUGAGUGGCAAAAGUGCAGACAUGGUGGUUGCUCUCCAGAGACUCGGCAGUUGCAGGAAUUUUGGGUUGCUCUGUGCUUGCGCUAACUCAUCAGCAUGGAACAAAACCUGAACUGUCAGCAAACCCAGGUAAACCCUGGCAUCUGGCAAGUCUAGGCUUGAACCAGACACUGAAGAGAGGAUGAGUAAUCUCUUUGCUACUUGCUGUAAAAGGAAACACUGUUCUAGCAUUAAUGUUUUCGAAAUAUUUUAGAACUGCAAUGCAUAUUCUAUAUUAUUAUUAUCCUCCCUGUUAUUGAUUAAAACACACACACAUUAAACA